rnacentral:rRNA from 1 species
UUGUUGGUAAGGUAAAAGCUUACCAAGGCUUCGGUCAGUAGCUGGUCUGAGAGGACGACCAGCCACACUGGGACUGAGACACGGCCCAGACUCCUACGGGAGGCAGCAGUGGGGAAUUUUGGACAAUGGGGGCAACCCUGAUCCAGCCAUGCCGCGUGAGUGAAGAAGGCYUUCGGGUUGUAAAGCUCUUUCAGCCGGAACGAAACGGUUACGGAUAACACCCGUGACUACUGACGGUACCGGAAGAAGAAGCACCGGCUAACUACGUGCCAGCAGCCGCGGUAAUACGUAGGGUGCGAGCGUUAAUCGGAAUUACUGGGCGUAAAGCGUGCGCAGGUGGUUUUGUAAGUCAGAUGUGAAAGCCCCGGGCUCAACCUGGGAACUGCGUUUGAAACUACAAGACUAGAGUGUGGCAGAGGGGGGUGGAAUUCCGCGUGUAGCAGUGAAAUGCGUAGAGAUGUGGAGGAACACCGAUGGCGAAGGCAGCCCCCUGGGUCAACACUGACGCUCAGGCACGAAAGCAUGGGGAGCAAACAGGAUAGAUACCCUGGUAGUCCAUGCCCUAAACGAUGUCAACUAGUUGUCGGGCCUUUACGGGCUUGGUAACGUAGCUAACGCGUGAAGUUGACCGCCUGGGGAGUACGAUCGCAAGAUUAAAACUCAAAUGAAUUGACGGGGACCCGCACAAGCGGUGGAUUAUGUGGAUUAAUUCGAUGCAACGCGAAAAACCUUACCUACCCUUGACAUGUAUCGAAGCCCGCAGAAAAGCGGGGGUGCCCGAAAGGGAACGAUAACACAGGUGCUGCAUGGCUGUCGUCAGCUCGUGUCGUGAGAUGUUGGGUUAAGUCCCGCAACGAGCGCAACCCUUGUCAUUAAUUGCCAUCAUUUAGUUGGGCACUUUAAUGAGACUGCCGG